rnacentral:rRNA from 1 species
GAUGAACGCUGGCGGCGUGCCUAAUACAUGCAAGUCGAGCGAAAAGACGAGGAGCUUGCUCGUCUGACGUUAGCGGCGGACGGGUGAGUAACACGUGGAUAACCUACCUAUAAGACUGGGAAAACUUCGGGAAACCGGAGCUAAUACCGGAUAAUAUAUUGAACCGCAUGGUGCAAUAGUGAAAGACGGCGGUGCGGUAAGUAAUAGAUGGAUACGGGCCGCAUUAGCUGGUUGGUAAGGUAACGGCUUAUCAAGGCAACGAGGCGUAGCCGACCGGUGAGGGUGGUCGCCCACACUGGAACUGGGCCGCCGUCCAGGCUCCUACGGUAGGCAGCAGUCUGCUAUCUGCCGCAACGGUCGAAAGCCUUGCGGAGCGGCGCCGCGUGAGUUAUGGCGGUCUUCGGUGCGUAAUACUCUGUUAUUAGGGAUAAACAAAUGUGUAAGUAACUAUGCACGUCUUGACGGUACCUAGUCAGAAAGCCCCGGCUAACUACGUG